GGAGCCUUGGCGCAAUGGUAGCGCGUUGGUUUUCGGCACCAAAGGUUGAGGGUUCGAUCCCCUUGGGCUUCG
rnacentral:tRNA from 1 species